rnacentral:rRNA from 1 species
GACGAACGCUGGCGGCGUGCCUAAUACAUGCAAGUAGAACGCUGAAGGAGGAGCUUGCUUCUCUGGAUGAGUUGCGAACGGGUGAGUAACGCGUAGGUAACCUGCCUGGUAGCGGGGGAUAACUAUUGGAAACGAUAGCUAAUACCGCAUAAGAGUAGAUGUCGCAUGACAUUUGCUUAAAAGGUGCAAUUGUAUCACUACCAGAUGGACCUGCGUUGUAUUAGCUAGUUGGUGAGGUAACGGCUCACCAAGGCAACGAUACAUAGCCGACCUGAGAGGGUGAUCGGCCACACUGGGACUGAGACACGGCCCAGACUCCUACGGGAGGCAGCAGUAGGGAAUCUUCGGCAAUGGACGGAAGUCUGACCGAGCAACGCCGCGUGAGUGAAGAAGGUUUUCGGAUCGUAAAGCUCUGUUGUAAGAGAAGAACGAGUGUGAGAGUGGAAAGUUCACACUGUGACGGUAUCUUACCAGAAAGGGACGGCUAACUACGUG